rnacentral:rRNA from 1 species
GAUCAUGGCUCAGGAUGAACGCUGGCGGCGUGCCUAACACAUGCAAGUUGAGCGAGAAAUCACUUAAAGAAGCUUCGGUAGACUUAAGAGAUGGAGAGCAGCGGACGGGUGAGUAACGCGUGGGAAACCUGCCCUUGACAGGAGGAUAGCCGAGAGAAAUUUCGAUUAAUACUUCAUAAAGCAGAGCAUUCGCAUGGAUGAACUGCCAAAGAAUUAUCGGUCAAGGA